rnacentral:rRNA from 1 species
UACGUAGGGUGCGAGCGUUGUCCGGAAUUAUUGGGCGUAAAGGGCUCGUAGGCGGUUUGUCGCGUCGGGAGUGAAAACCAGGUGCUUAACACCUGGCUUGCUUUCGAUACGGGCAGACUAGAGGUAUUCAGGGGAGAACGGAAUUCCUGGUGUAGCGGUGAAAUGCGCAGAUAUCAGGAGGAACACCGGUGGCGAAGGCGGUUCUCUGGGCCUUACCUGACGCUGAGGAGCGAAAGCGUGGGUAGCGAACAGG